UUGCUAAAUUGAAAUACGACUGUACACAGCUCUUAAACUGGAGUGGUCAAUCCCAUCUUGACACACGCACCGACAAGUCAAGUACUUGACUACACCUAGCAGCCUUCCGUCACUGAAUUAGAAAUUCAGGUAGUCCAGUGCCUAAGUGCAGUGAGUUGCUUGCAAGUCACCAUGGUGGUCUCAGGUCGGAGGGACAUUUAUACCCAUAUUCCAUCAGAGAAAAUCUUGACAGCAG
rnacentral:lncRNA from 1 species